rnacentral:rRNA from 1 species
GACGAACGCUGGCGGCGUGCUUAACACAUGCAAGUCGAACGGUGAAGCUCCAGCUUGCUGGAGUGGAUCAGUGGCGAACGGGUGAGUAACACGUGAGCAACCUGCCCCUGACUCUGGAAUAAGCGCUGGAAACGGCGUCUAAUACUGGAUACGAGAAGGGUCCGCAUGGGCACUUUCUGGAAAGUUUUUCGGUUGGGGAUGGGCUCGCGGCCUAUCAGCUUGUUGGUGAGGUAAUGGCUCACCAAGGCGACGACGGGUAGCCGGCCUGAGAGGGCGACCGGCCACGCUGGAACUGGGACACGGCCCAGACUCCUACGGGAGGCAGCAGUGGGGAAUAUUGCACAAUGGGCGAAAGCCUGAUGCAGCGACGCCGCGUGAGGGAUGACGGCCUUCGGGUUGUAAACCUCUUUCAGCAGGGAAGAAGCGAAAGUGACGGUACCUGCAGAAGAAGCACCGGCUAACUACGUG